UCUGCUUUCAAGCCAACACUCAACUUUCGGGGGCAAGGUUAGGCGGCCAAACCCUGCAUCCUCAGGCAGGUUCGGCGGCCGAAACUACCUUCGGCGGCCGAACCUGAGUUCAUCAGAACUCAGCCUCUCGAGCAUACCAGCCUCCCAACCCCCCAAAACCAACCUCAACCUCACAUACUCUCUCCCAAACAUGCAUACACACUCCCACAAGCAUAAAGGAGCAAAGAAACUAGCUUAAACCUACCAACACAACACCACAUAACAUACAUUGGGCAUAAACCCACAAAAGCCUAAACAUGCAUAACUACCCAUACAUAAACAUUAAAACUU
rnacentral:lncRNA from 1 species